GGCAGCUCUUUAGAUCAGUAGACAAUGUCAGUCUUGUAUUAAGUAUUUGAAAGCAAUACUUGAGUAAAAGUAUGUAGCAGAAAAUGACUUUGGUAGAAGUUAAAGUCACCUUUCAGAAUAUUACUUGAGUAAAA